rnacentral:rRNA from 1 species
UGGUGGAGUGAUUUGUCUGGUUAAUUCCGUUAACAAACGAGACCCCUGCCUGCCAAAUAGCCAAAUGAGUGAUUUUUCACUGAUUGUGGCUUCAUAGAGGGACAUGCAUUUUAUUAGAUGCAGGAAGAUAGGGGCAAUAACA